rnacentral:rRNA from 1 species
CAGUCGCCGCGGGAAUACGAGGGGGGCAAGCGUUGUUCGGAUUUAUUGGGCGUAAAGGGUGCGUAGGCGGUUUGGCAAGUCUUGUGUGAAAUCUUCGGGCUCAACCCGAAGCCUGCACGAGAAACUACCGGGCUUGAGUAUUGGAGAGGUGAGUGGAAUUUCCGGUGUAGCGGUGAAAUGCGUAGGUAUCGGAAGGAACACCUGUGGCGAAAGCGGCUCACUGGACAAUAACUGACGCUGAUGCACGAAAGCUAGGGGAGCAAACAGGAUUAGAUACCCCAGUAGUCCCUGUCUCUUAUAA